CGCGCCGAAAAUGUACCGGGGCUAAACGUAUCACCGAAGCUGUGGAUUGACAUCUUCCGAUGUCAGUGGUAGGAGAGCGUUCUAAGGGCGUUGAAGCGGAUCGCAAGGACUCGUGGAGCGCUUAGAAGUGAGAAUGCCGGUAUGAGUAGCGAAAGAUGGGUGAGAAUCCCAUCCACCGAAUGCCUAAGGUUUCCUGAGGAAGGCUCGUCCGCUCAGGGUUAGUCGGGACCUAAGCCGAGGCUGAAAAGCGUAGGCGAUGGACAACAGGUUGAUAUUCCUGUACCACCUCUUUACCGUUUGAGCAAUGGGGGGACGCAGGAGGAUAGGGUAAGCGCGCUGCUGGAUUAGCGCGUCCAAGCAGUUAGGCCGGUAACGAGGCAAAUCCCGUUACCACACAGGCUGAGCUGUGACGGCGAGGGAAAUUUAGUACCGAAGUUCCUGAUUCCACACUGCCAAGAAAAGCCUCUAGCGAGGGAAAA
rnacentral:rRNA from 2 species